ACUGUUCUCCGAUCACACCAAGACAUAUUGUUACCAACCGGAUAACUUUUCACCGAUCGGUCAGCUUGGUCGCAGCCGCAGCCCACCAACCGCCGAGCGCUGAGCGCUCGCCGCCCAGGGCCCACCACUCCGCCCCGUGCCCACCGCCGUGCACUCGCCGCCCGCUUGCCGCCCACCACCUACCGUCUGUCACAGCUCCAGGCUUUCGGUUGUUCCCAACCUUAUGGGCAGGAAUUUAACAAAAGAAGACUAAUGAAGAAGAUUAAGAAAAAGAUGAAACAUAAUCUUCACAAAGGAUGUUGUUUAUUUGUGGGACCCUCUUAGUCAUAGCAUUCGCGAUGAUGAUUGGAAACAUGUUGUAGAAAUAGCUAUUCAAAUGGUCCAUGCGGCCUCUGGGAAUGGAAAGAAAGGACGAAGUAAAACUGCUUGGGAAAUUGUCAAGGCUCCCCGUCAACCGGAUAGCAAACAAUGCGGUUUCUAUGUCAUGGCUUACUUGAAAACUUUAACUGAGAACAUGCCGGACAUUGAUGAUAAAGAUUCUGUUCAAGCACGGGUAGUAAUUCCAUUUCUAUUUUUGUGUUUAAAAUUAUUCUGAUUUGAAUGUUUCAAAGUGGAAAUAU